CUCUGCUCUUGGACAGUCAGCAGUGUCGGCCCCUGCGCGGAUAUUACAGGCAAUAGAUCCUGAUCGUUUAGAGCACCCCAGCCAGGCCAACUCCUAUCACAGUAUACAGAUGGUAAUAAACUAAAGAGGUGUCAUCCUGCAUUCCAAUCCUCUAUAGCAGGCAUAGGCAACCUUCGGCACUGUAGAUGUUGUGGACUACAUCUCCCAUGAUGCUUUGGAUUUGGACAGAUGCACAAAACAUUCUUCCAUAGUAAUGAGGUGAAAGUGGGCGAUACUUAGAAAGGAGAAAGGACAAACAACUUAAGCCCCAUUCUCUUUCAGGAAGAAAAUGUAGGUUCAUUUUCAUAACAAUACAGGUUUGUAUUUAUGCAAACAUUUCCUCCGAAUAACAAUGGAGACAUUAUUCUGGCGAUGUUUGCAGGGCCUUCAAAUGUUUAUUAUGGAGAUUAUCCCAAAUUCCUAUAUUUCAAGUGAAAGCUUCACAAACCUCAUGUUCCCUGAUGAUGGAGAAGCUAUGGAAAAGAUAUAGCUAAGAAGAAAAAUAAAAAAGACAAGAUGGCAGACAACAAU